UAUUUUAAGAGUUUGAUCCUGGCUCAGGAUGAACGCUGGCGGCGUGUCUUAGGCAUGCAAGUCGAAUGCGGUACUUGUACCGCAUGGCAAACGGGUGCGUAACACAUUGGUAACCUACCCCUUGGCGAGGCAUAAUCAACCGAAAGGUUGGAUAAUUCCUCAUAGUCUCGUUGAACAUAAGUGAUACGAGUAAAGAUUUAUCACCAAGGGAGGGGCCUAUGGUCUAUCAGUUAGUUGGUGAGGUAACGGCUCACCAAGACUAUGACAGAUAGCGGGUAUUAAUGUACGACCCGCCUCACCGGGACUGAAACACUGCCCGGACUCCUACGGGAGGCUGCAGUCAAGAAUAUUCCACAAUGCCCGAAAGGGUGAUGGA
rfam:Bacterium CG10_46_32 isolate CG10_46_32 CG10_big_fil_rev_8_21_14_0.10_scaffold_23400, whole genome shotgun sequence.